AGCAGUAGCCACGGGAAUACGUAGGUGGCAAGCGUUGUCCGGAAUUGUUGGGCGUAAAGGGCUCGCAGGCGGUUUCUUAAGUCUGAUGUGAAAGCCCCCGGCUCAACCGGGGAGGGUCAUUGGAAACUGGGAAACUUGAGUGCAGAAGAGGAGAGUGGAAUUCCACGUGUAGCGGUGAAAUGCGUAGAGAUGUGGAGGAACACCAGUGGCGAAGGCGACUCUCUGGUCUGUAACUGACGCUGAGGAGCGAAAGCGUGGGGAGCGAACAGGAUUAGAUACCCGUGUAGUCCCUGUCUCUUAUAC
rnacentral:rRNA from 1 species